rnacentral:rRNA from 1 species
UGGGGAAUUUUGGACAAUGGGGGAAACCCUGAUCCAGCCAUCCCGCGUGUGCGAUGAAGGCCUUCGGGUUGUAAGGCACUUUUGGCAGGAAAGAAACGUCAUGGGUUAAUACCCCGUGAAACUGACGGUACCUGCAGAAUAAGCACCGGCUAACUACGUGCCAGCAGCCGCGGUAAUACGUAGGGUGCAAGCGUUAAUCGGAAUUACUGGGCGUAAAGCGUGCGCAGGCGGUUCGGAAAGAAAGAUGUGAAAUCCCAGAGCUCAACUUUGGAACUGCAUUUUUAACUACCGGGCUAGAGAGUGUGUCAGAGGGAGGUGGAAUUCCGCGUGUAGCAGUGAAAUGCGUAGAUAUGCGGAGGAACACCGAUGGCGAAGGCAGCCUCCUGGGAUAACACUGACGCUCAUGCACGAAAGCGUGGGGAGCAAACAGG